AUUGAACGCUGGCGGCAGGCUUAACACAUGCAAGUCGAGCGAGCGGCGGACGGGUGAGUAAUGUAUGGGGAUCUGCCUGAUAGAGGGGUAUAACUACUGGAAACGGUGGCUAAUACCGCAUACUAUCGGAUGAACCCAGAUGGGAUUAGCUAGUAGGUGGGGUAAAGGCUCACCUAGGCGACGAGCUGUAGCUGGUCUGAGAGGAUGACAGGCAACACUGGAACUGAGAAACGGCCCAGACUCCGACGGGAGGCAGCAGUGGGGAAUAGUGCACAAUGGGCGAAAGCCUGAUGCAGCCAUGCAGCGUGUAGGAAGAAGGCCUUAGGGUUGUAAAGUACUUUCAGCGGGGAGGCGUUACGCGCAGAAGAAGCACCGGCUAACUCCGUGUCAGCAGCCGCGGUAAUAC
rnacentral:rRNA from 1 species